CAAUAGCGUAUAUUAAAGUUGUUGCAGUUAAAAAGCUCGUAGUUGAAUUUUUGCUUGCCGCCGAUGUCGGAACUUCCGUACGUUCGGCGGCGUGCAUCCUUGGGUGGAACCUGCGUGGCAUUAGGUUGUCGUGCAGGGGAUGCUCAUCGUUUACUGUGAAAAAAUUAGAGUGUUCAAAGCAGGCUUACGCCGUUGAAUAUAUUAGCAUGGAAUAAUAAGAUAGGACCUUGGUACUAUUUUGUUGGUUUGCGCACCGAGGUAAUGAUUAACAGGGACAGUUGGGGGUAUUCGUAUUCCAUUGUCAGAGGUGAAAUUCUUGGAUUUCUGGAAGACGAACUACUGCGAAAGCAUUUACCAAGGAUGUUUUCAUUAA
rnacentral:rRNA from 1 species